UAAGGAAUAUUGGUCAAUGGGCGGAAGCCUGAACCAGCCAUGCCGCGUGCAGGAAGACGGCCCUACGGGUUGUAAACUGCUUUUAUACGGGAAUAAACCUCACUACGUGUAGUGAGCUGAAUGUACUGUAAGAAUAAGGAUCGGCUAACUCCGUGCCAGCAGCCGCGGUAAUACGGAGGAUCCAAGCGUUAUCCGGAUUUAUUGGGUUUAAAGGGUGCGUAGGCGGCCUGUUAAGUCAGGGGUGAAAGACGGUAGCUUAACUAUCGCAUUGCCCUUGAUACUGAUGGGCUUGAAUAUACUAGAGGUAGGCGGAAUGUGACAAGUAGCGGUGAAAUGCAUAGAUAUGUCACAGAACACCAAUUGCGAAGGCAGCUUACUAUGGUAUGAUUGACGCUGAGGCACGAAAGCGUGGGGAUCAAAC
rnacentral:rRNA from 1 species